AUUCUCCACCAGGCUUACAUUCUUUAGUGAGUCUCCAUGACACAGAAAGAGCCAAAAGUCCACCUUUACUCGCUGAGUGCCCUUUGCUCUACUAGGUUGCUUUUGUUGCUGGCGAGCAGUACUGUGACGAAGAGUAACUUCAUCGCAGCUUUCCCUUCUGCAUUACCGUCUAGCAUCAAGGGAAGUCAGGGCAGGAGGUCGAGCACAAGCAGAGGGUAGCCAUGGAGGAAAGCUGCUUCCUGACUUGUUCAGCAUCUCUUCUUGUACAGCCUAGGCCUACCUGCCUCGUGAUGGUGUGGCCCACAGUGGGCCAGGCCCUCCCACGUUAAUCAGCAAUCAAGAAAAUGCUAGAGAGACAUGCCACCAGGCCAGUCUGGUGGAGGCAAAUCCUCUUCCCAGGUAUGUCUAGAUUUGUGUUGAGUCAACAGAAACUAACUAUGAUACUCCAUCAUUUUGGCCUUGGAUGGAGAGCUCCCUGGAUGCCGGCUACAGCAUCUGGGGGCUCAGAGCACCCUGUUCCUGAAAUGGGAUGGAAACUCAGCGAAUAUAUUCAGAGAAUGAACAAUGCAUGUGUGCAUCUUACAGCUGAACAGCCUUCCUUGCAGCUGGUUGUGACCCUGUGAGCAAGUUGUAGCCAACAGGAUGUACCAAUGAAUAAGUCUAGUGCCUAGAACAUGAACCAUCUUGGAUAUGCACAUGAUGAUGAAGCUCAUGAAUGGAAAAAGGAGCCUGGAAUCACAUCCUGCCCACGACGCGAGGCUAUCAAAGCAGUUCAGACUUCAUGGUCAUUAUCAGUCAACUUCUGCUUUGGUUAAGUGACUAGCUUUUGAGGUUUCCAGUAUAUCUGGAGAUAGCUAAACCCUAAUAAUUUCAUUCAUUUAUCCCUCUGACGAAAAUAAAAUAAAAGGA